ensembl:lncRNA
GAGCAUGUGAUAGAGAUCAGCAGGUGUCAGGAGCUCUUUUACCGGAGCCUGAAGGAUUGUUAUAAGGGGACGGCUGAGGACUGAAGAAACACUACAGUGUGGCCCUGGAUCUCUAGCUGGAGUUUGUAGCCUGAGAAACACGAUACAAAAAAGAGACAAGCUACGCUAAGAUGAAGAACAUGACAGGAGGCCCAAGCCCCAAGUUCAGACAAGCAGACCUGCAGUCCUCAGCAGGCAAGUGACUAGGUCUGUGGACAUCGUAGCAACGUCACGAGUCACGUGGAACCUGCCGAAUCAGCCCGCACCCCGACAGCAAUCCACUGGACACCCCGCCCCCGGCUCCUCUGUACAACCACCUGGUUCCACACUACAAAGACACAGAGGACACCGGACCACCAGACCACUGUACUGGGAAAGAGUUCCUGAGAGAUGGUGAACAAGUGUUAAUCAAAGUGGGGAGAUCUUAUUAUAACCAUAAGGUGCUGUGAAGCCAUUGAUCUUAAUGAUGAAGUAGCUGUGAGAGUCACCGUUCUACAGAACAUCAAUGGACAUGAUGCAGCAGAGGAUUCUAAUGUUUUGAUCUUUGUUGAGCAUGCUCUGAGAACCCUAUGCCCCAGAAUCCAUACAAGUGUCUUAGACUUGAACCCAACUCACAAGGAGGAAUUGUGUCCAGCCAAGCUUCUGUCUGAAGUAGAACCUCCUGCUGGAGCCCAGCCUGGAUCAAGUAAACUACAGAGAACCUGCAGACCAUGGGCAUAGGACUGAAUGCUUGUUUUAAGUGACUGAAUGCUGGGGUGGUUUGCUAAAUGGUAUGAUUUUCACAACAGAUAACUAAUACACCACUCUGGGGUCCAGAACACGCUGUAUUUGCCUAAAUAAACCAUGUACCUUGUUCAUCAUUGCAUUUCCUGUUUCUACUGCACUGUCUGAUAUUUAGCAGGUGUUCAAAAAUAUGUGUUGAAGGGAUGAAAAAAUGGCUCCUGACCUGGGUAAUCUCACAGGCUAGUGUGUGAGACAGUUCUGGGAACAAAUAGUUACAUUGUAAAGUGAUAAAUGCAGCAAUAGAAGAGCUAUGAUAGCAUGGAGGUGGGAAGCCUUCAAAUGUUGUGUUAUCUACACCAAGGAAAAGUGUAAAGCACCAGUACUCAUGUUUGUACAUAAUAAGGACACUUAAGCUACCAUCAGAGGCUUCUUCGUAAGCUUAUUGGUACAAGAUUGGCUAUUUUGAAAGUCACUAAACAGACUUAAAAGUUCCUGCCAGUACUUAAUAAAUUCUGAUUUCAAAAAUUUUUCAGUGUAUAUAAUGAAUAAAAUGAGAUAUAUAGAAUCUGGAUUGUAUCCAAGAAAAAUGGCAAUGGGCUUAAGGAAUGAAAUUCCAGACAGUUGUAUACUAGCAUAUAUGUUUAAAUACCCUGAAAAGGCAAAUCAUUGCUUAAUGAAUAAAAAUGAGGAUUGGAAAAUCUGUGUAGUAAAUGAAGGUAGGGGGAAGUUCACAAUACAAGAUACAUCUACUUUUCAUUUUCUACUUUGCAUUAAAAAUAAAAGUCCUCCUCAAGUAACGAGUGACCAACUGGUCUGUUCUCUCUUUUUGAUCCAAACCUCUUUGCAGGAGGACUUCGAGGGCUGGCUGAUUCUUAAGUUGUUCAGGCUUAGAAAUGCAUUGUCACUCCUGUCUAGGUGUUGCAAAGCGAGAGAUAUGCAACAAGACUUGUUUAUGAGGUGAAAUAGCAAAAUAUUUCCAAGGGCUAAGCCUGUCUGUAUUCAUUUGGGAUGGUCGGUCGGCUUCUUAUUGGAACUGCUGAGCAGCCUUCCCUCUCAAUCUGUCACCUUCCUCUCUUUUUUCUAUCAUCCAAAAAGUGUAUUAAAAUUCCACUUCACUGGUAUCUCCUCUAGCACUCUGCUUAUCCUCAGGGAUCAAUACCUUUUUCCUGAUGUGUUAGCAAAGUUUGGGGCAGUGGAAGACUAAAUUGUGUUGUGGUCAUUAUGACUUUUAGGGAGGAAAGGAGAAUAGGAAAAAAACAAGAACCAAG